UACACUACAGACAGUGACAACCUAACGACGACGUCUGUCGAGGUUAACAUCGCCGUUACUGACUUUAAACGCAAGUAGACAAAAGCACAGUUGUGUGUGUUUCUUGCUUAACUCGUUGUAUAGCUCCGAAACUAAGUGGUCUACCAAUCACGAUGACUGUACAAACACGGUUGUACCAAGCUGUCGUCUGCUUGCUGCUCGCCAUGGCCUUGGAUGCAAGACACAUCCACCAUCACCAUCUGGCUCAAGCUAAUUUACUUCAGUGCAGCGACACAGGGUGUAAGCCGACUGUGUUUAGCUCUCGAAACGAUAUGUGCCAGAGAAUAGCGUCUUUUCGUCGACGGGCUAAACAUCCCGCUCAAUUCUGCGUUCCACGAAGCAUAAUAAUAACAGAAGACGAAUAUAUAGACUGGCUUUCUUAAAAUAACAAGUGAAUGAUGUCGCCUGCUACAAAUGGCCGUUGGAUGCUGGAUGUCAACAAAUAAUAUGACGUCAUCGCACGAGUGUAAGAUCUCCGAGUUCAAAUGUGUUUCUAAAUGUAUUGUACAUUCAUGCAUUCAGAGGUUUUGACUGUAUUUCUCGAGUGUUCUGUCUGUUUAAGAAAUUCACCAAUAAAAACUUCCAUUGAAA